rnacentral:rRNA from 1 species
UAGGGAAUCUUCGGCAAUGGACGAAAGUCUGACCGAGCAACGCCGCGUGAGUGAAGAAGGUUUUCGGAUCGUAAAACUCUGUUGUUAGAGAAGAACAAGGACGUUAGUAACUGAACGUCCCCUGACGGUAUCUAACCAGAAAGCCACGGCUAACUACGUGCCAGCAGCCGCGGUAAUACGUAGGUGGCAAGCGUUGUCUGGAUUUAUUGGGCGUAAAGCGAGCGCAGGCGGUUUCUUAAGUCUGAUGGGAAAGCCCCCGGCUCAACCGGGGAGGGUUAUUGGAAACUGGGAGUCUUGAGUUCAGAAGAUGAGAGUUGAAUUCCAUGUGUAGCUGUGAAAUGCGUAGAUAGAAGGAGGAACACCAUUGGCGAAGGCGGCUAUCUGGUCUGUAACUGACGCUGAGGAUCGAAAGAGUGGGGAGCAAACAGG